rnacentral:rRNA from 1 species
UACAGAGGUCUCAAGCGUUGUUCGGAUUCAUUGGGCGUAAAGGGUGCGUAGGCGGCGCGGUAAGUCGGGUGUGAAAUCUCGGAGCUUAACUCCGAAACUGCAUUCGAUACUGCCGUGCUUGAGGACUGGAGAGGAGACUGGAAUUUACGGUGUAGCGGUGAAAUGCGUAGAUAUCGUAAGGAAGACCAGUGGCGAAGGCGGGUCUCUGGACAGUUCCUGACGCUGAGGCGCGGAGGUCAGGGGAGCAAACGGG